rnacentral:tRNA from 1 species
GCCGGUUUAGCUCAGCAGACAGAGCAACUGACUUGUAAUCAGUAGGUCACCAGUUCGAUUCCGGUAACCGGCAUCA